AACGAACGCUGGCGGCAGGCCUAACACAUGCAAGUCGAGCGGGACCUUCGGGUCUAGCGGCGGACGGGUGAGUAUCGCGUGGGAAUGUGCCCUUCUCUACGGAAUAGCCUCGGGAAACUGAGAGUAAUACCGUAUACGCCCUUUGGGGGAAAGAUUUAUCGGAGAAGGAUCAGCCCGCGUUGGAUUAGGUAGUUGGUGGGGUAAUGGCCUACCAAGCCUAUGACGAAUAUCCGGCCUGAGAGGGUGAUCGGACACAUUGGAACUGAGAUACGGUCCAGACUCCUAUGGGAGGCAGCAGCUAGGAAUUUUCCGCAAUGGACGAAAGUCUGACGGAGCAACGCCGCGUGAAGGAUGAAGGUCUUUCGGGAUUGUAAACUUCUUUUAUAUAGGAAGAGAAAGGACUGUACUGUAUGAAUAAGUCCCGGCUAACUACGUGCCAGCCGCCGCCGUAACAC
rnacentral:rRNA from 1 species